UACGGGGGGAGCAAGCGUUGUUCGGAUUUACUGGGCGUAAAGGGCGCGUAGGCGGUCAGCACAAGUCAGUUGUGAAAUCUCCGGGCUUAACUCGGAAAGGUCAACUGAUACUGUGCGACUAGAGUGCGGAAGGGGCAACUGGAAUUCUCGGUGUAGCGGUGAAAUGCGUAGAUAUCGAGAGGAACACCUGCGGCGAGGGCGGGCUGCUGGGCCGACACUGACGCUGAUGCGCGAAAGCCAGGGGAGCGAACGGG
rnacentral:rRNA from 1 species